rnacentral:lncRNA from 1 species
UUGGAUUUCCAAUGAGCUUCUUGGUAUCUUUUGUGCGUUCUGUUUGCAUAAUCUUCCAAGGCUUGUGGCUUAUGUUUAUGGGGCUCAUGCUUUAUACACCUGGUUAUGAACCCAAAGGUUGUUUCAUGAAACUUAAGGAGGGUCAAUAUGUGGUUAGGUGCAAUGAUGAAAAGGCUAUUCAUCGCGCUGUUGCAUUGGUGAAUCUUCAAUUCAGCUGGUUCUUGAUCGGAGUCCCUAUAUUUGCUGUGUCUUUCUACUUGAUUAUGGCAACAUGCUAUGGUGAAAAGCUGGAAUAUGUUUCACUGAUGAAGGAGGAACAUCACCUUGAAGAUGGCUUAAAAAAUUUCAAUGUUGAAUCAUAAUGUCAAAUAUCAACACAAGUAUGCAAGAGCAAAACUAUAUAAAUAAUGUAUUGUUUAAAUUUCAUUUCAAAAUAAAAUUAAAUGUAUUGCUUAAAUUUGCACCGAAUAAUGGUAUCAAAGUUACCAAUGUUUUUAAUCAACGGUUAGUAUUCACUAAUCGACAUUCUUAUCAACAGUCAGAAUUGAUUCUAAAUAUAUCAUGCGGAUCGAUGACCUGUACAUAGCAAAACAAAAAAGAAGUGAUUUUAAUCAACGGUCAGUAUUCACUAAUCGACAUUCUUAUCAACAGUCAGAAUUGAUUCUAAAUCUAUCACGCGGAUCGAUGACUUGUACAUAGCAAAACAAAAAAGAAGCGAUUUUAAUCAACGGUCAGUAUUCACUAAUCGACAUUCUUAUCAACAGUCAGAAUUGAUUCUAAAUAUAUCACGCGGAUCGAUGACCUGUACAUAGCAAAACAAAAAAGAAGCGAUUUUAAUCAACGGUCAGUAUUCACUAAUCGACAUUCUUAUCAACAGUCAUAAUUGAUUCUAAAUAUAUCACGCGGUAGCAAAACAAAAACAAAACAAAAAAAAAGCGUAAAAAUAAUAGCAAAAACAGUCCUCGAGACUAAUAAAUAAAUUAGUAAUUAAAACAUGAACAUAAACAGAAUUUGUCCCAAAAACUAGUAAAUAAAUUAGAGAAGUGCUCGAGACUAAUAUAACCUAUGAAACACGGACAUAAACAUGAACAUCAGACACAAUACGAAUAUUGACACGUCUACACCGAUAAUAAUUUAAUAAAAUGGCAUAAUUCAAUGUAAUAAUAAUAAGUGUCUAAUUAAACAUGAACAUCAGACACAAUACGAAUAUUGACACGUCUACACCGAUAAUAAUUUAAUAAAAUGGCAUAAUUCAAUGUAAUAAUAAUAAGUGUCCGACACUGUCCGUCACCGAACACGUCUAAUCUGUGAUAGAAUAGAACCCAAAAACUAGUAAUUGCAACUGCACUCACACCAAAUCUCCAUCUUAUAAAGAACCCGACAAACACAUUAUUAUCACUAUAUAUCAAAUGCAAAAUAACAUGACACUAAACAAACCCAACAAAAGCUAAAUAACAUAUGAGACUAAUUUGCAAACACAUUACUAUCUUUAUUAAGGUAUUUUCUCUCGUAAUAUAAAUAAAUAUAUAAUGUGUUCUUCCAUUGUUUAUGAUCUCGUAAUUGCGUUAAAUGCACAUUUUUAUUGUCUUCAUAGAAUGUAUUCGUUCACAACAGUACACUGCUUCUGAUUUCGUGAGUCCAUAAAAUGCUCGAUUUUGCUUGUUGUAAUAAAAUGUGUGCUUUUUCACAACAAAUAAUAUAAUACGUGGUUACCAAAAUUUGAGUGCAUCCUAUAAAGAUUUAUUGCCCGUAAAAUAAAACACCUUCUAACUCAACUUUGAUCUAAUGUGUAUAUAUAUCAUAUAUGUCCAAUGGCAUGAAAUUUCCUUAACAUAAAAGCACCUUCUAACUCAAAUUUGAUCUAUUGUUCCUUAACGUAAAAUCUCAAACCUUGUACCUUGUGUGAGACGGACCACAACAACCUUUCCCCUUGUGGAAGGAAUUUUCUUGCCUUGUCCCAUGUGGUGGUCUCUCAUAUACGGACAUUUGUAUUUAUAAUACCAUAUAUACCCUCACCCCAACCAACUUCAUCUCCAUUAUAUUCCCUCACAAUAUCUAGAGAUACACAAAGAGCUAGCUCUAUAAAACUUCGUAUUUGGUUUUGAAUAACAAAGUUUAUAUAUUGUACCACAUUAAUUCCUUUUAGAGUUUGCUUAUUAUUACCAUUGGUGAACAAGAACAUAACUCAUUAGCUAAAUAAUAUUUUUUCCCCCUUUUGUGUUGUGUUUAUCAAAUAGUUAGGCACUAUGGAGGGACAUGAAUUUUUGGGGUUUGGUUUCUUUGUAAUUGGUUUGUGGCACCUCUUCAACAACACCAAACUCCACUUUCUUUGUUCUUCUUUCAAGUCCCACACAUCAACCAUGUGGUUUCCUACCAAAAUAAGUAGAUACUUGGAGCUUCAUUUCAUCAUGGCAUGUUGCACAAUCUUCAUAGCAAUGGAACUCUUCAUUGCUCCUCUUCAUCACCAACCAUUUGACCCUCAUGAUGGAACCAUUCCCUCCAACCAUCUCCACAACUUUGAACACUCUUCCAUGGCUUCGUCGUUCUUAAUCUAUGCUACUUUUUCCGUAGUUCUUGAUAGAUUUUCAACAAGUACUAUAAUUCAAAAUGAACUUAGCCAUUUGCUUGCAGCCAUAGCAUUUGCUCAACAAUUUCUUCUUAUUCAUCUUCACUCAAGAGAUCACAUGGGGAUAGAAGGACAAUAUCAUUAUUUAUUGCAAAUUUUGAUUUCGAUUUGUUUUGUGACAACUCUUAUGGGAAUUGGAUUUCCAAUGAGCUUCUUGGUAUGUUUUGUGCGUUCUGUUGGCAUAAUCUUCCAAGGUUUGUGGCUUAUGUUCAUGGGGUUCAUGCUUUUUACACCUGGUUAUGAACCCAAAGGUUGUUUCACGAAACUUGAGGGGGAUCAAUAUAUGGUUAGGUGCAACGAUGAAAAGGCUCUUCAUCGCGCUAUUUCAUUGGU